AACGAACGCUGGCGGCAGGCUUAACACAUGCAAGUCGAACGCCCCGCAAGGGGAGUGGCAGACGGGUGAGUAACGCGUGGGAAUCUACCCAUCUCUACGGAAUAACUCAGGGAAACUUGUGCUAAUACCGUAUACGCCCUUCGGGGGAAAGAUUUAUCGGAGAUGGAUGAGCCCGCGUUGGAUUAGCUAGUUGGUGGGGUAAAAGCCUACCAAGGCGACGAUCCAUAGCUGGUCUGAGAGGAUGAUCAGCCACAUUGGGACUGAGACACGGCCCAAACUCCUACGGGAGGCAGCAGUGGGGAAUAUUGGACAAUGGGCGCAAGCCUGAUCCAGCCAUGCCGCGUGAGUGAUGAAGGCCCUAGGGUUGUAAAGCUCUUUCACCGAUGAAGAUAAUGACUGUAGUCGGAGAAGAAGCCCCGGCUAACUUUGUGCCAGCCGCCGCAGUAACAC
rnacentral:rRNA from 1 species